GUCCACGCCCUAAACGAUGUCAACUGGUUGUCGGGGAAGCAAUUCCUUGGUAACGAAGCUAACGCGUGAAGUUGACCGCCUGGGGAGUACGGCCGCAAGGUUAAAACUCAAAGGAAUUGACGGGGACCCGCACAAGCGGUGGAUUAUGUGGAUUAAUUCGAUGCAACGCGAAGAACCUUACCUACCCUUGACAUGUACGGAACCUCGCAGAGAUGCGGGGGUGCCCGAAAGGGAGCCGUAACACAGGUGCUGCAUGGCUGUCGU
rnacentral:rRNA from 1 species